ACAUACUGCAGUGGCAUUUCCAGGUCCUUCUACAGAUAUGUGGAUGUGUCUACAUUUGCUCUGUGAAUUUUGGCAUCACAGUUCAUACAGAUUCUAAACUUGAAGGCAGAAACUUUGUCUACUGCAUGGGGCCCUGUUUAAGCAGACAUCAGAUACUCAUCACUGGGAAUCGGAGUCAGUGUCUACACAGUCCUCUGAAGCAAACUGGCCCCAAGAGGCAAAUCCAAAACAGGUGAUGACUGAGGACAUGCAAUAUCUAAGAGAGCAGUUGGUAUCAAAGGUCCCUCCCUAACAGGGCUAGGAAGGGGGGAAGGCAGAAGCAGCUGAUUAAAAAGUGCUACAAUCUGAGGGCAAUCCCCAACAGAGCUCUUAGAUCCAGGACCACCCCUGAGCACACGUCAGUAUCUGGGGUCCAAGGCCAGACCCAGGCCCAGGUCAAGCCAGAGUGACUUGGCAACAACGGCAACACCAGGCGAUGCCCAGAGGGCUGAGAUGUGGCUCGCUGAUGCCUCCAUCUAGAGCCAGGGCUGGUCCAGACUGUGGUAGGCCUGGGCGUGCAGUGAGGAAGAGACAGACAGGUGAGGGAGAGCAGAUGGAGUAGGCCUGAGGAGGGUUUGACUGCACGGGCUCAACAAAUGAGGAAGUCACCCCAGUUGGAUUUGGAAUCUCAGCAGACAUUUGGAGCUCUAGCCCUGCCACUUACCAGCCAUGUAUGACUAACUUACCCACCUUUAGAGCUGACUUAACUAUUGGUUGCUUCAGCCAUAAACUCACAAAAUUAUCCUGUCCCUCCGACCACACAGAGUUACUGGGUGUGGCUGAUAAGCUGACCUUUUGGGAAAUGCUUGGUCACAUCCCAUUCUGAUGUCGCAGUGCUUUGCUGAUUCACGGUGCUGUGCGGUCAUCAUCUCACAAUGACGCUCCAGAUCUCUUUCUUGGGAUAAAUUAUCUGGGGUCUUACACUAGAUGAUAAAGUGGGCUGAGGCUUCCCACCAAAGCCAAGCCUUCUGAUCUGCCAUCUCCAAAUUCACACGCAGAGCUUCAGGCUGUGGACUGAGAAAGACAAUGAGAAGCAAAUCCUCUCCUCUUUCUCCAACCCACCAGUGCGAGAACUUUCCAUCUAUGGUUGGAGGGCUGGAAUGGGGUCACUUGCCUGUGGAGGCCAGUUAGUUAAAGGACACACACUCCCCAGUCCAGCCUUUAGUCUUGUCCAGCAGGUGUCUGAGUAGUUCCUGUAUCUGUCUGAUUCCUGCAGAAUUCCAUCUGACCUCUGAUUACACCUCCCUGAACUCUACUGCAACAAGCCUGAGUCCCUAGGUCCUGCCUCACUCCUUGCAUUCAACGCAGAACUGAGGCAGCACAGCACAGGUUAAAGGCAUUAGCAGUUCGCAAUGACUGAAUUGUAAUGAGGACGAGAUGCUAAAUUAAAGUUUAUUGCAGAAUAAAAGUGUAUGUAGUCAGCAGUUGUUUAAGAGGCUACAAUGAGAUGCCUUCUAGAACUUGGCAAUACAAUUAUGUAGAGUUAAGUGAGUAAAAUGCACACACAGAUGAGAUUAGCUGUCGGCAAAAGUCAUUUUGAGACAAGUCAUCUUUUGUGAAGGCAGAAAGAGCUAGAAUGCUCGUCAAGAUGUGAUUAAACAUGGAAGAAACAAUAGCCUCAUCAAAGCAUGGAGAUAUUUGCAGUGUGAAUUAAAGAACUGAGCUUCUGGAUUUGCCACUCUGAGGUCUGGACCCUGAGCCUGGGUGACAAAGUGCACCGCCUGGGACCUGUGGGUAGAAGUGUCUCACACGGCACAUAUAAACCACAUGCAAGCCUGUAGCUGUGUGUGAAAUAAAGACCAUGGGGGAAUGUAAGUUUUAUUUGCAUAAACCUCAUGUGGCUGAUAAAAAAGUUCCUAUUACAAAGUGUUCUGGGAGUCGUGGUGAGCAGUUGACCAUGAGUGCCUAUUAUGGAUAAUAACACUUACCUGCACUUCAUAGUUUUUAUAAAGUCUAAGUGUGAUAAUGAUGUAAACUGCUUACUUCUUAGCACAAACUAAGCACUCAGUAUACAAGUUUCAUGUUUUAUAAAUGCGGGUUGUUUUCUUUA